GAUGAACGCUGGCGGCGUGCCUAAUACAUGCAAGUCGAGCGAACGGACGAGAAGCUUGCUUCUCUGAUGUUAGCGGCGGACGGGUGAGUAACACGUGGAUAACCUACCUAUAAGACUGGGAUAAUUUCGGGAAACCGUAGCUAAUACCGGAUAAUAUUUUGAACCGCAUGGUUCAAAAGUGAAAGACGGUCUUGCUGUAACUUAUAGAUGGAUCCGCGCUGCAUUGGCUAGUUGGUAAGGUAACGGCUUACCAAGGCAACGAUGCAUAGCCGACCGGAGAGGGGGAUCGCCCACACUGGAACUGAGACACGGUCCAGACUCCUACGGGAGGCAGCAGUAGGGAAUCUUCCGCAAUGGGCGAAAGCCUGACGGAGCAACGCCGCGUGAGUGAUGAAGGUCUUCGGAUCGUAAAACUCUGUUAUUAGGGAAGAACAUAUGUGUAAGUAACUGUGCACAUCUUGACGGUACCUAAUCAGAAAGCCACGGCUAACUACGUG
rnacentral:rRNA from 1 species